AUUGAACGCUUGCGGCAGGCCUAACACAUGCAAGUCGAGCGAGGGGCGGGCGGGUGUGUAAUGUCUGGGAAACCGCCUGGUGGAGGGGGAUAACCACUGGAAACGGUCGCUAAUCCCGCAUACUAUCAGAUGUCCCCAGAGGGGAUGAGCUAGUGGGUGGGGUAAUGGCUCACCUAGGCGACGAUCCCUAGCGGGUCUGAGAGGAUGACCAGCCACACGGGAACUGAGACACGGCCCAGACUCCUACGGGAGGCAGCAGUGGGGAAUAUUGCACAAUGGGCGCAAGCCUGAGGCAGCCAUGCCGCGUGUGUGAAGAAGGCCUUCGGGUUGUAAAGUACUUUCAGCGGGGAGGCGUUACCCGCAGAAGAAGCACCGGCUAACUCCGUGCCAGCAGCCGCGGUAAUAC
rnacentral:rRNA from 1 species